rnacentral:rRNA from 1 species
AUUGAACGCUGGCGGCAUGCCUUACACAUGCAAGUCGAACGGCAGCGGGGGAGAAGCUUGCUUUUCCUGCCGGCGAGUGGCGAACGGGUGAGUAAUACAUCGGAACGUGCCCUGUAGUGGGGGAUAACUAGUCGAAAGAUUAGCUAAUACCGCAUACGACCUGAGGGUGAAAGUGGGGGACCGCAAGGCCUCAUGCUAUAGGAGCGGCCGAUGUCUGAUUAGCUAGUUGGUGGGGUAAAGGCCUACCAAGGCGACGAUCAGUAGCUGGUCUGAGAGGACGAUCGGCCACACUGGGACUGAGACACGGCCCAGACUCCUACGGGAGGCAGCAGUGGGGAAUUUUGGAAAAUGGGCGAAAGCCUGAUCCAUCCAUGCCGCGUGUGUGAAGAAGGCCUUCGGGUUGUAAAGCACUUUUGUCCGGAAAGAAAUGGCUCUGGUUAAUACCUGGGGUCGAUGACGGUACCGGAAGAAUAAGGACCGGCUAACUACGUGCCAGCCGCCGCCGUAA